GUGGUGGAUUCCGCUUUAAUCUCUCUGCGGGGUUGGCGUUCAACUCAAUCGCGCGGCAACGCAAGCGAACUCGGAAAAUGACCGUCGUGAGUUUCGAAAAGAGUUUUCUUUUCUUUUUAAGGGACGCAUUCCCUGGAACCGGGUUGUCCGGAGAUAGGGAUUCUGGUAUCCAUAAAUUUGCCGACUUUUUCACGGUGUUCGGAGCGCUCUCGUCGGUACGUGAAAAUCCGAGCGACGCCUGGUAAAUCUCGUACUUGGUCGUACUGAUAUCCGCAGCAGGUCUCCAAGGUGAAUAGCCUCUGGCCGAUAGAAUAAUGUAGGUAAGGGAAGUCGGCAAAUCGGAUCCGUAACUUCGGAACAAGGAUUGGCUCUAAGGGCUGGGCCGAUCGGGCUGAGGGUUCAAGCGUGCCUUGUAUGCUUGGCUUAUUUGCGUUGACCACUUGUUUAGGGGGGGGGGGGGGUUGUCCCCCCCCCCCUUUUUUUAUUCCACCCUCAACCAAAUCUG
rnacentral:ncRNA from 1 species